GAUGAACGCUGGCGGCGUGCCUAAUACAUGCAAGUCGAGCGAAUGGAUUAAGAGCUUGCUCUUAUGAAGUUAGCGGCGGACGGGUGAGUAACACGUGGGUAACCUGCCCAUAAGACUGGGAUAACUCCGGGAAACCGGGGCUAAUACCGGAUAACAUUUUGAACCGCAUGGUUCGAAAUUGAAAGGCGGCUUCGGCUGCCACUUAUGGAUCGACCCGCGUCGCAUUAGCUAGUCGGUGAGGUAACGGCUCACCAAGGCAACGAUGCGUAGCCGACCUGAGAGGGUGAUCAGCCACACUGGGACUGAGACACGGCCCAGACUCCUACGGGAGGCAGCAGUAGGGAAUCUUCCGCAAUGGACGAAAGUCUGACGGAGCAACGCCGCGUGAGUGAUGAAGGCUUUCGGGUCGUAAAACUCUGUUGUUAGGGAAGAACAAGUGCUAGUUGAAUAAGCUGGCACCUUGACGGUACCUAACCAGAAAGCCACGGCUAACUACGUGCCAGCCGCCGCCGUAA
rnacentral:rRNA from 1 species